UUCAUCGAAGAAAAAACUUUUCUCUAAAAACGACAAUGAAGGUGAUUCAUCGGCGAUUUGUAAUCGUAACACCAAAUCGGCGUGGUAUAUCUCAACGAUCUCUGCUUACCACUUCAACCGAUUGCUAAAGUAAUGCCGAGUCUCAACAGUGACACCUCAUCUGAAGGUCCAGAAAUGGACAUGGGGUGGGCAUAUGCAGAUGCCACAUUUGGCAUCCCUGAUAAAUGUUUCUGUGGUCGAGAUAUGAAACUGGAAUACCAGGCCGGUGCAGAGACAGGGAUACCAGGCUGCAAGUGUUAUACUUGUCCUGACUGGCUCAAAGAGGCGAAUGGUGAGUAUAGAUGACAAUGGUGGGAUGAGGCGGUGACCGAGCAGUUCUCGACCGUGCAGAGAAAGUUUGAAGAGCAAAGAGAGAUGAUGUUUAGGGUUUACAGACGUGAAGCUGUUGAUCCCACCAUUGGAUAUCUAAACAAAGAGGUCAGAGUGCUUCAAGAAGAAGUUUCCAGGCUGAAGGAGCACAAUGCUAACCAAGGUGAAGGCUUAGUGAUACUGUUUUUUUUUUUUUUUUUUGACAUUCCAGCUAUUUCAUAUUUGUUUAAGUAGCACUAAUGAGGUGCAUCUGUUCUCUGCUUUCUUUUACUAAGUAAUGUUCCCUACGUGGAGUUUACUAAUACAAAAAUGU